UACGUAGGGGGCAAGCGUUGUCCGGAAUCAUUGGGCGUAAAGAGCGUGUAGGCGGCCCGGUAAGUCCGCUGUGAAAGUCCAGGGCUCAACCCUGGGAUGCCGGUGGAUACUGCAGGGCUAGAGUCCGGAAGAGGCGAGUGGAGUUCCUGGUGUAGCGGUGGAAUGCGCAGAUAUCAGGAGGAACACCAAUAGCGAAGGCAGCUCGCUGGGACGGUACUGACGCUAAGGCGCGAAAGCGUGGGGAGCGAACAGG
rnacentral:rRNA from 1 species